rnacentral:rRNA from 1 species
GAUGAACGCUAGCGGCAGGCUUAACACAUGCAAGUCGAGGGGUAUAGUUCUUCGGAACUAGAGACCGGCGCACGGGUGCGUAACGCGUAUGCAAUCUACCUUUUGCAGAGGGAUAGCCCAGAGAAAUUUGGAUUAAUACCUCAUAGUAUGUGAGAACGGCGUCAUUUUCACAUUAAAGUCACAACGGCAAAAGAUGAGCAUGCGUCCCAUUAGCUAGUUGGUAAGGUAACGGCUUACCAAGGCAACGAUGGGUAGGGGUCCUGAGAGGGAGAUCCCCCACACUGGUACUGAGACACGGACCAGACUCCUACGGGAGGCAGCAGUGAGGAAUAUUGGACAAUGGGCGCAAGCCUGAUCCAGCCAUGCCGCGUGCAGGAUGACGGUCCUAUGGAUUGUAAACUGCUUUUGUACAGGAAGAAACACUGGUUCGUGAACCAGCUUGACGGUACUGUAAGAAUAAGGAUCGGCUAACUCCGUGCCAGCCGCCGCCGUAAAAC